AUGUUAGCUUCAGCUCCACUGCUGCUGCUGGCUCUCGCCCCCUAUGUGUUCUGUGCUACUGAGCUCAUCCAGCCAGACUCACUGCUUAUAAAGCCAGGAGAGACUUUAACCAUCACCUGUAAAGUGUCUGGAGCUUCUAUCACUGAUAGCAGCAGCCACUAUGGAACAGCUUGGAUUCGACAACCUGCAGGAAAAGCUUUAGAAUGGAUCAACAGCAUUUAUUAUGAUGGGGGUAUUCAUAAGAAAGAUUCACUUAAAGACAAGUUUGUUGUCUCUCGAGACACUUCCAGUAACACUGUGACCUUACGGGGACAGAACAUGCAGACUGAAGACACAGCUGUGUAUUACUGCGCUCGUGAUCCACACAGUGACACGACAAGCUGCAGUGCUGCACAAAAACCUCAUCACUAUUCACUUCUUUAA